rnacentral:rRNA from 1 species
UACGUAGGGUGCGAGCGUUGUCCGGAUUUACUGGGCGUAAAGGGCGCGUAGGCGGCAACUCAAGUCAUCUGUGAAAUCUCCGGGCUUAACUCGGAACGGUCAGAUGAUACUGUUUUGCUAGAGUGCAGAAGGGGCAAUCGGAAUUCUUGGUGUAGUGGUGAAAUGCGUAGAUAUCAAGAGGAACACCUGAGGUGAAGACGGGUUGCUGGGCUGACACUGACGCUGAGGCGCGAAAGCCAGGGGAGCAAACGGG